rnacentral:lncRNA from 1 species
CGGUUAUAAACUGAAAAAAAGGCACCGGUUACUAGUAGUUUUUAUAUUGUUAUUUUCAGCAAAAAAGAGAAAGUCAAAGGCAUGUCUGUGGCUCAAUCGUCCAAAAAAGAAAUCAAAAAUUGAAAAUGCUAUUGUUACACCUUUACAAAGCAAAGAUGCCAAUGAAAGACCUAAAAGUAUCGAACUGAGAAAAGCCCCAUUAAAAACGAGAGGAAAUAGGCGGAAAAUUAGGAGGAAGCUCUAUAAUGCUCACGCGGACG